UACGGAGGGGGCUAGCGUUGUUCGGAAUUACUGGGCGUAAAGGGCGCGUAGGCGGCCUGCUAAGUCGAACGUGAAAUCCCCGGGCUCAACCCGGGAACUGCGUCCGAUACUGGCAGGCUUGAAUCCGGGAGAGGGAUGUGGAAUUCCAGGUGUAGCGGUGAAAUGCGUAGAUAUCUGGAGGAACACCGGUGGCGAAGGCGGCAUCCUGGGCCGGUAUUGACGCUGAGGCGCGAAAGCUAGGGGAGCGAACGGG
rnacentral:rRNA from 1 species